UCCAAACACAAGGAAAAGUGGGAAUUCAUAGCCAAAGAGCUGGCAGGGGCCGGUGGAUGGAAAUUCCUAAAAGGAAACAGGAGUAAGGCAACAUUCUGGCUCAGCCCACCUAGCCCACCUUGCCGAGGCAGCCAGUCAUCAGACAUCACCUGGGGGUGGUGCAGGUGAGCGACCUGAACAGACUUGGAAGGUGAUCAGAUGUGGAGGGUGGGGCAUUCUGGCAAAACUGACCAAGCGGGGUUCUUGCUAGAACUGGACCGUGUGGGGGAAGGCUCGAGGGGAGCCCAGGGUGGGAGGCUCAGAUGAGCCCUUGAGACCAGGUCAGGGAGAAAGUGUGAUCCCGCUGUCCUCUCCAGCCAGUCCCUCCCUGGCACCAAGUCAUUGGAAUCCAGUACUUUGGCCUCACGUAACUGCCAGGGGCAGCCUCCCUCUGCUUACCAGGAUGAGGGGUGCAGCCAGCACGCUGGUGGCAUUAGUGGGAGGGACCUUGGCUCCUGUAAAAUACAGUGCCACCUGCGGGGGCCCUAAGGGCUGAUCUUCGGCUAACCCUCGCUCCUUUUUUCCUUUUACUUCUCUGUGUUUUUCCCAGUAGGUCUGCCACACGUGUGCUGGGUUCCUUAUCGAAGUCUAAAUACCUACAGAAAAGCGCUCAGAUCAUAAACUAUGAAUUUAUGAGCCAACGCGCCCAUAUUAAUAAAAACAAAAACAUCCUAGAAACUCCUUGUGCCCCCUUCCAACCCUGCUCCUUCUCCAUCACACCCCGCCCCCCCCGCAAGGAUAACCACGCCACACCUGAGGCCCCAGUGUGAAGAAGCGGGGACAUGUAUGUCUCUAAUACCGCUGCGUCCCCCUCUUCUGUGCUUACUUGUGUGAGCUUGAGGCAGAGAGGAGAGAGAUGGAAACCAGGAAACCCUCACUGGCUCACUCGGCAGGUCCGGAGCUUCCACCAUCAGCCGGGUCUUACAGAGAAACAAAAAACCUGACACUGGUCAAGUGAAGUCUCACUUCAAACAUUGAAGAGGACAUUCUUUAGAAAGGGAACUGAGAGGGGACUCCCAGGUGGCGCAGUCGGUUAAACACCCGACCCUUGAUUUCAGGUCAGGUCAUGAUGUCAGGUUGGGGGCUCGAGCCCCAUGGCGGGUUCUGUACUCCGUGUGGAGCCUAAGAUUUUCUCUCUCUCUGCCUGCCCCCCACCCCUGGCUCACUCUCUCUCUCUAAAAAGAAAAAAAAAAGGGGAUCCCUGGGUGGCGCAGCGGUUUGGCGCCUGCCUUUGGCCCAGGGCGCGAUCCUGGAGACCCGGGAUCGAAUCCCACAUCGGGCUCCCGGUGCAUGGAGCCUGCUUCUCCCUCUGCCUGUGUCUCUGCCUCUCUCUCUCUCUCUCUCUCUCUGUGACUAUCAUAAAUAAAAAUUUAAAAAAAAUUUUAAAAAAAAGAAAAAAAAAAGAGAGAGAGAGAGAUCCUUUCUCCUAAUCUCAGACCCUGUAUCACUCAGAGUCCUCCAGAGAAACAGAACCAACAUUAUACAUAAGAUAAACAUUCAAUCCAUAUGUCAUUGUAUGUAUAUGGACAUCCAAAACCUCAUGGGGCAAGGCUGGCAGACGGAGACUGAGGGCAGAGAUGCAGUCUGAGUCCAGAGACUGUCCGCUAGCAGAAGUCCCUCUUGCUCCAGGAGGUCAGUCUCUGUUCUAUUCAGGCCUUCAGCUGAUUACAUCCGGCCCACCCACAUUACAAAAGUAAUUUACUCAAAAUCCACCAAUUUAAGUGUUAAUCUGGGGACACCUGGGUGGCUCAGUGGUUGAGCACCUGCUUUUGGCUCAGGUCAUGAUCCCAGGAUCCUGGGAUGGAGUCCUGCCUCAGGCUCCGUGCAGGGAGCCUGCCUCUCUCUCUCUGUCUCUCAUGAAUAAAUAAAUAAAAUCUUUUUUUAAAAAAUGUUAAUCUGAUCCAAAAAAUACCUUCAUUUGGGGCACCUGGCUGGCUCAGUUAGUGGAGCGUGUGACUCUUGAUCUCGGAGUUAUGAGUUUGAGCCACCUGCAGGGUGUAGAUUACUUAAAAUAAAAUCUUAAAAAAAAAGAAAAGUCUUGGGAUGCCUGGGUGGCUCAGCGGUUGAGCGUCUGUCUGCCUUUGGCUCAGAUCCUGGGAUCGAGUCCCAUGUUGGGCUCCCUGCAUGGAGCCUGCUUCUCCCUCGGCCUGUGUCUCUGCUUCUCUCUCUCUCAUGAAUAAAUAAAUAAAAUCUUUAAAAAAAAAAAAAAGUCUUCACAGAACUAUCUAGAAUGAUGUCUGACCAAAUACUUGGGCACCACGGCCCAGCCUAGUGGAUGCAUCAAAUGAACCAUGGUAGACUCCUAGGAAUUUGCACAAGGGAAAGAGAAAUGAGCAGAAGCUUCGUGCGUAAGCUUGAGGUGGCCCAGCAGCAGGCACCAGGACAAGAGUGUGUGGCGGGGUUUGUGUGGGAAGGGAAACCAGGGAGCAGCAAGAGGGGAGACCUGCAGAGGAGGAAGAUGGCACAGUGGGGACCCUGUGACUCAGGUUAUGGCCUAGGUGGGGGGCCCUCAGAGCUGUCCCAAGGGAGCGGGCACUCCCUGGCUCUUCUAGGCUGCCCUGCGACCCUCUGGGCCUUGGGCACUGCAGUUCUAAGGCCCCAGUUGCCUGAGCAGCGACGCUGCCCGGGGUGGGGCAGUGCUUGACAGAGCUGCUAUGAAACCCGGGGGACAUGUGUCAGCUCUCACUUCGUCUCCACAAAAUCUUUUCGUCUCCACAGAUCUUUUUUUUUCUUAACUAAGCAGGCACCAUACAUAGUAUGGAGCCCAAUGCAGGGCUCGAACUCACAGCCCUGAGAUUCUGAGUCAGACGCUCAACCCUCCACCGACUGAGCCACCC